GUUUCUGGCUGAUUUAGCUCCACCUUGGGAAGAAACUUUUCACCCAGUACCUAGCCAGGUGCACAGCUUGGGCUGUGAAGCCUCUUUCAUCCAGGAAGUGGCCAAGUAGCAAUCUUAGUUCUUCUUUCUGGAGAGGACCAGCACGAACGUGUGCCUUUGUGUUCAUGUAGAAGACAUUGGGACGAGGAAGCAUUCAAUACACUUCAGUGUGAAAAGCGUCCUCCCUGGCCUGAACAAAGAAUUGUUCAAGACAAGCA
rnacentral:lncRNA from 1 species